ensembl:lncRNA
CUGCUACGGCCCUGUAUGCUAUGCACAGUGACCCACUUCUCCAGCCUGGGAAACUUGGCUGAUCUGCACAGAAAUAAGCGAAUCCAGGUCAGUUAGCCACAGUGCGAGAUCAGGUCAAAGGACAAACAGAUGGAAAAGGGGUGUAAGUGAUAGAGGAGCUGAACAUGGCUCGAGCUGAAGUGCUCAGGGAAUUAAUUCAGGGGACAAGAGGAUAAAGGUGAAGCUCAAGCACAUGGUUGCCCCUGAGAUGUUUUAGACUUUUUUCCCUGUGCGUGGACUAGUUUGGACACAGAAACACCCUCAGUGCUGGGACAAGCAUCGUCUGGCCUGGCCAUGAGUUUAUCACUGACUCAACUGGACUGAAGGGAAGCUCCUGAUUUACAUGAAGAAAGAAACCUGGGUUGGAUGGUGGCAUAGCAUCCCCUUUCUCCUGGCAGGAGACGUUUGGCCUGUCUUUACAGGACGAAUGAUACUCUCCAUCUCCAAAUAAGGAUAGUUUCAUGCUUAAAAUCCCUUUGCAGACAUAUGGAUAGAUAGCUACAAAGCUACAUACACAAACUGAGACAACAGCAGGACCUUGAUUUACAUCUGCAAGGCCAGAAGUUGUCUCCAGCCUUGACUCUUGCCCACACCUCCAGCACCAUCACAGGGCCUGCAUGCGGCCCCACUGCACAGUGCACGGGGCACUGCUGUCAGGCUAUGACAGGCAUCAGAGUUACUGCUGCCCUGCUUGCGUCUUGGCAGAUGACAGGAUCCCAGCACACCAUUAGCAGGGGGCAAAUGCAGAAGUCCUUAGGCUAAAUCUUACCGUUGCUCUCAGUAAUUGCCUUUUAAGCAACAGGGAGAUUGAAGGACAAAGAAAGGUCUUGUACCACCAGAAUGAACAUUUUCUGACAGUCAACUUUUCUGACCGUAAAUCAGGAGCAUCGAGACCCUCAAUAGACAUGACUCUGCUAGUACUAACAGCAAUGCAGCCUCUUAUUCAGAGGGCACUCUCCUUAAUGUUGUAGCUCACAUGGUUAAAUAAACAGAUCACGCUAGCUUAUAUUUUCUUUCCACACAAAUGGUAUUAGAAAACAUCCCUGUAUAUAAAAUCUCUAAAUACGCACUGGAUUAGUUAUUUGAUACGCAAUAAAUUAGGGUUUUUUUUUUGUGCAACACUCCCAACGGGAAGCAAAGUACGUGUACUGACUAAAACAACGCUAUUCCUCGCUUAAACAGAGCAACGCAUCCUGUUGUCGAGAAGAGUAAGCUUUGAUUGGACAGGACUGUUAUUGCAGCUUCAACUCAUUCAAAAGCAAAAGUACUUUUUAUUCACUUCUAGGCAGCAACUGUUGGCAUAUUUCCU